UACGUAGGGUCCGAGCGUUGUCCGGAAUUAUUGGGCGUAAAGAGCUCGUAGGUGGCUUGUUGCGUCUGCCGUGAAAGCCCGUGGCUUAACUACGGGUCUGCGGUGGAUACGGGCAGGCUAGAGGCUGGUAGGGGCAAGCGGAAUUCCUGGUGUAGCGGUGAAAUGCGCAGAUAUCAGGAGGAACACCGGUGGCGAAGGCGGCUUGCUGGGCCAGUUCUGACGCUGAGGAGCGAAAGCGUGGGGAGCGAACAGG
rnacentral:rRNA from 1 species